rnacentral:rRNA from 1 species
AUUGAACGCUGGCGGCAGGCCUAACACAUGCAAGUCGAGCGGAUGAAGGGAGCCUGCUUCUGGAUUCAGCGGCGGACGGGUGAGUAAUGCCUAGGAAUCUCCCUGGUAGUGGGGGAUAACGUCCGGAAACGGGCGCUAAUACCGCAUACGUCCUGAGGGAGAAACAUGGGGAUCUUCGGACCUCACGCUAUCAGAUGAGCCUAGGUCGGAUUAGCUAGUUGGUGGGGUAAAGGCCUACCCAGGCAACGAUCCGUACCUGGUCUGAGAGGAUGAUCAGUCACACUGGAACUGAGAAACGGUCAAGACUCCUAGGGGAGGAAGCAGUGGGGAAGAUUGGACAAUUGGCGAAAGCCUGAUCCAGCCAUGCCGCAUGUGUGAAGAAGGUCUUCGGAUUGUAAGGCACUUUAAGUUGGGAGGAAGGGCAGUAAGUUACUACCUUGCUGUUUUGACGUUACCAACAGAAUAAGCACCGGCUAACUUCGUG